rnacentral:rRNA from 1 species
GGGAAACUGCCCGAUGGAGGGGGAUAACUACUGGAAACGGUAGCUAAUACCGCAUAACGUCGCAAGACCAAAGUGGGGGACCUUCGGGCCUCACACCAUCGGAUGUGCCCAGAUGGGAUUAGCUAGUAGGUGGGGUAAUGGCUCACCUAGGCGACGAUCCCUAGCUGGUCUGAGAGGAUGACCAGCCACACUGGAACUGAGACACGGUCCAGACUCCUACGGGAGGCAGCAGUGGGGAAUAUUGCACAAUGGGCGCAAGCCUGAUGCAGCCAUGCCGCGUGUAUGAAGAAGGCCUUCGGGUUGUAAAGUACUUUCAGCGGGGAGGAAGGCGGUGGAGUUAAUAACUUCACCGAUUGACGUUACCCGCAGAAGAAGCACCGGCUAACUCCGUGCCAGCAGCCGCGGUAAUACGGAGGGUGCAAGCGUUAAUCGGAAUUACUGGGCGUAAAGCGCACGCAGGCGGUCUGCCAAGUCGGAUGUGAAAUCCCCGGGCUUAACCUGGGAACUGCAUUCGAAACUGGCAGGCUGGAGUCUUGUAGAGGGGGGUAGAAUUCCAGGU